UGCUUUUUUGCUGAGAGUGGCGGACGGGUGAGUAAUGCUUGGGAAUCUGGCUUAUGGAGGGGGAUAACUGUGGGAAACUGCAGCUAAUACCGCGUAUUCUCUGAGGAGGAAAGGGUGGGACCUUAGGGCCACCUGCCAUAAGAUGAGCCCAAGUGGGAUUAGGUAGUUGGUGGGGUAAAGGCCUAUCAAGCCUGCGAUCUCUAGCUGGUCUGAGAGGAUGACCAGCCACACUGGAACUGAGACACGGUCCAGACUCCUACGGGAGGCAGCAGUGGGGAAUAUUGCGCAAUGGGGGGAACCCUGACGCAGCCAUGCCGCGUGAAUGAAGAAGGCCUUCGGGUUGUAAAGUUCUUUCGGUAAUGAGGAAGGGAUGUUGUUAAAUAGAUAGCAUCAUUGACGUUAAUUACAGAAGAAGCACCGGCUAACUCCGUGCCAGCAGCCGCGGUAAUACGGAGGGUGCGAGCGUUAAUCGGAAUAACUGGGCGUAAAGGGCACGCAGGCGGACUUUUAAGUGAGAUGUGAAAUCCCCGAGCUUAACUUGGGAACUGCAUUUCAGACUGGGAGUCUAGAGUACUUUAGGGAGGGGUAGAACUCCACGUGUAGCGGUGAAAUGCGUAGAGAUGUGGAGGAAUACCGAAGGCGAAGGCAGCCCCUUGGGAAUGUACUGACGCUCAUGUGCGAAAGCG
rnacentral:rRNA from 1 species